rnacentral:rRNA from 1 species
ACAUUGCCUCUCGAAUAAUAUUAGAGGUACAUCCUGCCCAGUGACACACGUGUUAAACGGCCGCGGUAACCUGACCGUGCUAAGGUAGCAUAAUCAUUUGCCUCUUAAUUGGUGGCUAGUAUGAAUGGACAAAUGAGAGCUAAGCUGUCUCUUUCUUACAUAUUUAAACUAACCUUCAGGCGAAAAGGCCUGAAUCACUUUAUAGGACAAGAAGACCCUGUCAAGCUUCACUAAAAAAUCUAUUCACAAAGAUUCCAAUUACCCCACUAGAUUAUUUUUAGUUUGGUUGGGGCGACCGGGGACCAAAAUCAGCGUCCCCCCAAUAACAAGGGAAAUUCCCCUACAACCUGAUCCUUAACAAGACCAAGAGAAAAGCUACUGCAGGGAUAACAGGCUAAUUUUCCCUAAGAGCCCAAAUCGAAGGGAAAGUUUGGCACCUCGAUGUUGGCUUAAGACACCCGUAAAGUGCAGCAGCUUUAUAAGGUAGGUUUGUUCAACCUGUUAAAGUCUUACGUGAUCUGA